CGCCAUGGAAGCUGCGAGCGCCCGAAGUCCGUGCCGGAACUGGAGCAAUCCAGACCAAGCGGCCGAAGGCGAGCGCAGUGACUGGGGCG
rnacentral:rRNA from 1 species